rnacentral:rRNA from 1 species
AACGCGAAGAACCUUACCUGGCCUUGACAUCCUAGGAAUCCUGCAGAGAUGCGGGAGUGCCGUAAGGAACCUAGAGACAGGUGCUGCAUGGCUGUCGUCAGCUCGUGUCGUGAGAUGUUGGGUUAAGUCCCGCAACGAGCGCAACCCUUGUCCUUAGUUGCCACCCCUUAACUGGGAGCACUCUGGACAGACUGCCUCGCUUCAACGAGGAGGAAGGUGGGGAUGACGUCAAGUCAGUAUGGCCCUUACGGCCAGGGCUGCACACGUACUACAAUGCCCGGUACAAAGGGAAGCAAGAGCGUAAGCUGGAGCAAAUCCCCCAAAACCGGGCCCAGUUCAGAUUGUUGUCUGCAACUCGACAGCAUGAAGCUGGAAUCGCUAGUAAUGGCGCAUCAGCUACGGCGCCGUGAAUACGUUCCCGGGCCUUGUACACACCGAGUAUA